rnacentral:lncRNA from 1 species
CACCCACAGCAGCACACUGGCGGAGGAGGUGGUGGCACUGCUGCACACGCUGCACUCCCUGACUCAGUGGAAUGGGCUCAUCAACAAGUACAUCAACUCCCAGCUCCGCUCCAUCACCCACAGCUUUGCGGGAAGGCCUUCCAAAGGGGCCCAGUUAGAGGACUACUUCCCUGAUUCCGAGAACCCUGAAGUGGGGGGCCUCAUGGCGGUCCUGGCUGUGGUUGGAG